rnacentral:ncRNA from 2 species
GCAUAUUCUCAGGGCGGGGUGAAAGUCCCCACCGGCGGUAAACAGUCUGAAGAGGUCUUCAACUGAAAGCCCGCGAGCGGUUGAUGCGUUUUAUGACGUAUUGAUGUCAGCAGAUCCGGUGUAAUUCCGGAGCCGACGGUUAUAGUCCGGACGGAAGAGGAUACAA